UAUUUGGUUUUAGAGAAUCCAGCAAUUGUCUGAAGACGCUCCUACCCAAAGGACUAUCAAAGUGGCAAGCAAAGAGGCAGGGCCAUUUGGCAAAACCACUAUCCUUCAUGGCACUCAGAGUCUAAACAAGGAAAGGAUUCUGAGGAAAGGAUGGAAGCUAUGAGGGAAAAUACCUUGUCUUAUACUCUUGCUGCAUGGAGCCUAAUUCCCCAAACCCCCAAACCUCCAAGCAUGUGUUGUAGGUUGUGUGACUUCUAUCGACAGCCAUAAAGCUCAUUUAGAGCUUGAAAGAGGAUGACACCUUGAUUGACUGCAGCCUUAUUCCUGACCCACAGAAACUGAGUUUGUCUCCCAAGUUGGAAAUGCUCUGGGGAGCAGUUGUCAUAUGGCCAUUUGAAUCACCUGGUGUGAAAUGACGGAAGCUGGCAAUGAGAAGUCAUAAGAGACCCUGCUACCUGAAGGCAGAGCCAAUGCAUUAAUCUGACCUUGCUUUAGUUAUGGUCAAUAAAGUUUACU